rnacentral:rRNA from 1 species
UUAACACAUGCAAGUCGAAGGAGAAGGUAAGUGCUUGCACUUACUGGAGACUGGCGGACGGGUGAGUAACGCGUAGAUAACCUGCCUAUAUCUGGGGGAUAACAUCUCGAAAGGGGUGCUAAUACCGCAUAAUGCAGCGGGGCCGCAUGGCCACAGUUGUUAAAGGUUUCGGCCGGAUAUAGAGGGGUCUGCGUACUAUUAGUUAGUUGGUAAGGUAACGGCUUACCAAGGCGACGAUCUCUAGCUGUUCUGAGAGGAAGAUCAGCCACACUGGGACUGAGACACGGCCCAGACUUUAAUAAGGCAGCAGUGAGGAAUAUUGGACAAUGGGAGAAAUCCUGAUCCAGCAAUACUGAAAGGGUGAGCGCAGGAAUUUUAUUUUCUGGAAGGCUGUAAAAAAGAGGUUGUAAAACUCUUUCGUCGAGGAGGAAAAUGACAGUACUCGAAAAAGAAGUCCCGGCUAACUUCGUGCCAGCAGCCGCGGUAA